CGGAUAAGUACUUCUGUGAGCUCGGCCGGCGUGCCACUUAUAUACCUGCGUGCACGUCACCGCGCUGAUUGACAGGCGCGCCACGCGUGUACCCGCAAGGAACAAAACGUUUCCUGGAGCAGUGCACGAUGAUACAGGCCAAACUCUUCUAAAGAAUACAGCCUACAGCUGCGAUAAAGGCUGUUUGCCGGUGUUUAACUAGGUCAGAGAAAUUAAAACAAGUAAAUCAAAAUAAAACACAUUUAAAUGGAAAGCUUUGUGGAAUAAAAAAAGGAAUGCAUUUAUUUCUUGUUAAUGAAUUCAGUGUUUUGCAUUUAAGGAUGUCCGAGAGAGGAAAAAUCGUUCAAAAUCCACUUUCAAAUUGAAAUAUUAUCUUUUUACAAAUAUUAUACACUUGCAAUACAAUAUAGAGUACAAAGUUACUCAUUAGUAGCCUACCUGAAACAAACGUGGCUUUUUAACUUUUAUGCAUUAGGAAGACACUUUUUUAUUUAAAGUGACGUACGAGUAAGCAUAUGUUUAAUAAAAAGGCCAAAAUAAAUAAAUAAAUAAAUAAAUAAAUUAAUUAAUUAAUGCAGCUUGAAGGGAGUUUUUGAAAUAUCAAAACAACUAGCAUAGGUCUAUAUAUAUUCGUUGUUUUUUCGCACUUUCUAGCCUUUUUUUCUUCCAUUGCUAUGGCAACGCGCUGUAGUGCCGCGCUUUAAACGGAGACCGCAGCGGGUCUAUGGUCUCCAUGCGCCCGUGUAAACUUCUUCUGCAUGAACGCCCGCCUGCUGGGUUUUGCUAUUGAAAUAGUAAGCGAAAGUUUAACGUGUUGUUUUGUUUGUUUGCUUGCUCGAGGCCUGGCUUCAUCAAAUCGAGCAGCAGGAUUAAUAAAAGAGAAACGAGGCCUCGAUCUCCGUCAGACGGUCAUGAUGCUCCUGUCAGAGAGAGAUGGAGCAGAAAAAGAAAAGGACUUUUCCCUCAACUGUUGUCCUCCAGAUUUCUGAGAUCAGUGUCACCUCAGUCUGUCUCUUUCUGUCUCUUCCGACAUCCCACCUGUGAAACAAUACAGGAUGUUCUGACUCCUCAGAUGGAAAGACUGGUGGCAGCAGAGGACACUGGGAUGUGUGUGUUUUUAAUGGGGGAAAGUUAUUGUGUUUUUACCAUGGCAACGGCCAUCCGUCUCCAGAACACUGAGGAUGCACAGGCUUAUAUAACAGCAUGCCAGCUCUAAAUGUGUGUGUGUGUGUGUGUGAGUGAGUGUUUGUGUGUGUGAGUGUGUGUGUGUGUGUGUGUGUGUGUGUGAUAGUGAGUGAGAGUGAGUGUGUGAGUGUGUGUCUGUGUGAGAGAGAGAGGGAGUACACUAGGUCAGCUGGAGUCAGUGUGGAGCUUUGUAGUGUCUCAUUAGUAUUCGCUCUCUGUGUGGGCUGCUCUUCUCUCUCUCUCUGUCUAAUAAACACACACACAUUUGUUUACA
ensembl:lncRNA